rnacentral:rRNA from 1 species
UACGUAGGGGGCGAGCGUUGUCCGGAUUUAUUGGGCGUAAAGAGUUCGUAGGCGGCUUGGCAAGUCGGGUGUGAAACCUCCAGGCUCAACCUGGAGACGCCACUCGAUACUGCUAUGGCUAGAGUCCGGUAGGGGACCACGGAAUUCCUGGUGUAGCGGUGAAAUGCGCAGAUAUCAGGAGGAACACCGGUGGCGAAGGCGGUGGUCUGGGCCGGCACUGACGCUGAGGAGCGAAAGCGUGGGUAGCAAACAGG